rnacentral:rRNA from 1 species
CAUGUCUAUUUGUAGAUAUAAAUAGUCCAAUCUGCCCACUGAUAAUUAUAUUAAAGGGCCGCAGUAUUCUGACUGUGCAAAGGUAGCAUAAUCGUUAGUUCUUUAAUUGAGAUCUUGUAUGAAUGAUUAGACAAAAAGAUUACUGUCUUUAUAGUAAAAAUUGAAUUUAACUUUUAAGUGAAAAGGCUUAAAUUAUUUAGAGUGACGAUAAGACCCUAUAAAGCUUAAUAUUUUAUAAGAGUUUAAGUAAUAUAUUUAAUAAAAUUUUAACUAUUAUAAAUAUUUUGUUGGGGUGAUAGAAGUAAAAAUAAUAUAACUGCUUUAUAUUUAAACAAUUAUAAUUGGUUGUUAUGUUUAAAUGAUCCUGUAAUAUAGAAUAUAAGAUUAAGUUACUUUAGGGAUAACAGCGUUAUUUUUUUUAAGAGUUCUUAUCGAAAAAAAAGAUUGCGACCUCGAUGUUGAAUUAAAAUAUCUAUAUAAUUGUAGAAGUUAUAUUAGAAGGUCUGUUCGACCUUUAAAUUUUUACAUGAUUUGAGUUCAGACCGGUUUAAACCAGGUCGGUUUCUAUCUUUUAAUAUAAAAUUAAUUACUUUA